rnacentral:rRNA from 1 species
UGAGGAAUAUUGGUCAAUGGACGCAAGUCUGAACCAGCCAAGUAGCGUGCAGGAUGACGGCCCUAUGGGUUGUAAACUGCUUUUAUAUGGGGAUAAAGUGGGGAACGUGUUCCCUUUUGCAGGUACCAUAUGAAUAAGGACCGGCUAAUUCCGUGCCAGCAGCCGCGGUAAUACGGAAGGUUCGGGCGUUAUCCGGAUUUAUUGAGUUUAAAGGGAGCGUAGGCCGUUUGGUAAGCGUGUUGUGAAAUGUAGGAGCUCAACUUCUAGAUUGCAGCGCGAACUGUCAGACUUGAGUGCGCACAACGUAGGCGGGAUUCAUGGUGUAGCGGUGAAAUGCUUAGAUAUCAUGAAGAACUCCGAUUGCGAAGGCAGCUUACGGGAGCGCAACUGACGCUGAAGCUCGAAGGUGCGGGUAUCGAACAGG